rnacentral:rRNA from 1 species
CCUACGGGAGGCAGCAGUGGGGAAUUUUAGACAAUGGGCGCAAGCCUGAUCCAGCUAUGCCGCGUGAGUGAAGAAGGCCUUCGGGUUCUAAAGCUCUUUUGUCAGGGAACAAACGGUGAACUCUAAUACAGUUUGCUAAUGACGGUACCUGAAGAAUAAGCACCGGUAACUACGUGCCAGCAGGCGCGGUAAU